UAUUGUUAUAUUUAAAUUAAUUAAAUUCAGUCACCUAAGAAAUAAAUAGUUAUACUUUUAUAGUACUGCAGCAGUUCAUGCAUUAUACUUUAUAGUAUAGACAUCUGUAGUUCACCAAAACACAUUUAAUCCUGUCAAACUUACUACUAUGUACUUUUAUUACAACUUUCAAAAAUACAUCAAGUGUAUGACUCGUGAAAGUGAAUUUUGCUGUUUUGUUCAACAUUACCUAGGCACUAAUUAACAUCGUCAAUUAUUGCAAUACUUUAUAAACCAACGGAUCUGAAUGAAUAAAUGUUAUAUUCUAAAUACACCCUCACUCUGUUAGACGACUACUUGAAGACUCACAAUCUUGUAGCAGCUAGUCCAUACCUAUUUCCGAGCUGUUUUUAACAGUUUUGAGAAGAGCAACAAUUCAAAUCUUAUUAUGAGUUGAAUUCUACAGUUUUACUUCUAUUUUUAGAUUAUAUAUUUACACUGGCAAACAAUGAAAAUAUACAGGUUUUGUUACCGGCUACAAAUCAUUUAAAGUUGGACUAUACAAUAUAUGUGCUGAGAUUCUACUAACACAAAUGGAUACUUCUAAUUAUCUUUCUAUAAAAUCAUUUGCCAACUUACAUAGUUGUACGGAGUUCUCUCAAGUUUUGAAGCAUUCAUCAAUAAACAGUUUUUAUAAAUGGUUAAAGGUGAUUAGUUCUUAUCAUUAUCUUGUGAAAUGUGUGGAGAUUAUUUCCUAUAAUGACAUUGCUGUUCCAUUUGUGGUGAAAGCCAUUGAAUGUGUCAUUACAUAGGUAAAAUAUGUUUUUUGGAUUGGAGAAAAAUGUGUUGCCAGUAUAAUGGAACUCGUGCGUUUGCCAUUAUUAGCAUCAACCACCAAUAUAUAAAAUGAGUUCAGCAUUUCGCCAUUCCAAAAACGAUUUGGUGUUGAGGUUUUGAUGUCACUGUUUGAAAAUGGGCAGCUAGUACAACUACAGAAGUGAUUUGCGAUGGAUACGAGCGUUUUCAAAACAUUUGAAGUCUGGCGAACUUUAUGAUCCCACACAUGAACUACCUAGUUGAAGAACUGUCUGUAUAUCACAAAGGUGUUAAUAUAGAAGUUUUGGAAGGUGUAUGUAUGCUAUCAGUGUUAGUGAUGGAUCAACAUUUCUUAACAGUAUUGAGGCCUGAUGACUAAUGAUGGAUUAUGGUCGUUUAUUGCUAAUACAUUUCUCGUUACAUAUCUGUCAAUCAGAUGGUGUAUUGUAUGUGAUUGACGGAGAGACAAAGAUACUAUAGAAGUGUACAACCGAACACCACUAAUACCUGGUCCAUGGAUACAUUGACUUCUGUGUGUUUAGUUGAGUAGUCAUAUUAUUGGGCCACCACAUUUUAUAUCUUAUUUGCAUUAAUAAUAGUCUAACAUAUGACUAACUUAUGAUUAAAUAUGUAUUUUUUUAUAUAAUUUUUUGUUUUUUUUUUUGUGAAUAUUCUAUAAAAAGUGUUUAUUAUAAUUUAAAUUUAUUAUUGCAUUCAAGAUAAACAAAUACAGUUAUAUUCAGUAGGUUUAUUCAUAACUGUAAAUAAUAGUUUUUUUCUCAAUAAUACUUUGCUUUAUACUUCAAUACAUAUUCUUAAAUAGUAGUACAUAAUAAAAUGUAAAGAUUCAACUACCUAUUGCUUAAGGGGGGGAGGGGCUUCAAACCCCAUAGCUUCCCAUUCUAUCCACAUCUGUUAUUAUUAUAUACAUAACAAAAUUACU